rnacentral:rRNA from 1 species
UAGAGAGAGAGUUCAAGAGUACGUGAAACCGCUUAGGGGUUAAGCCCGAUGAACCUGAAUAUCCGAAUUGAGAAAUUCAAUACUGUUUUAGUUUCUUCUUGAAAUGAACGACAGUGUGCACUUUUCUCAUAGUAGGACAUUGCGAUCCAUUAGUAUAGUUUAUCAAACGGCCUGUAUAGUUUGUUUAACCUAUCUGCAAUACUUGCUAUUGUAUGGUUAAUGCUAUUGCGGUGACCUGGUAAACAGCUGAUGGAGCUUAACAAUCAUGCUCGCAUGCAAAUGUAUCACGGUUUCAGGCAUGCAAAUGCUUGGGAUGCAGUGGUCGCAUGUAUUUGAUUAGCAAUGCGAUAGAUUUGGGAUACCUUCGGGACCCGUCUUGAAACACGGACCAAGAAGUCUAACAUGUGUGUAAGUCAUUGGGUAUUUCUGUUGAAACCUAAAGGCGUAAUUAAAAUAACUAUUUUAAUGGGAUUACAAGCGAUCUACAUGAUUGUUUCUCCAUCCCGGGGCGUUCUAUACGAACAUGGUUUAAGCAAUUAGGCCCUCUGUUCAAGAGCGUACCUUGAACAUACAUGCUGUGACCCGAAAGAG